AACGAACGCUGGCGGCGUGCCUAACACAUGCAAGUCGAACGGGAAAACCCGCAAGGGUGAGUACAGUGGCGCACGGGUGCGUAACACGUGGGUAAUCUGCCCAGAAGCCCGGAAUAACUCCCCGAAAGGGGUGCUAAUGCCGGAUGAGACCACGGGGACUUCGGUUCCUGGGGGAAAAGGUGGCCUCUGUAUACAAGCUAUCACUUCUGGAUGAGCCCGCGGCCCAUCAGCUAGUUGGCGGGGUAAUGGCCCACCAAGGCUACGACGGGUAGCUGGUCUGAGAGGACGAUCAGCCACACUGGAACUGGGACACGGUCCAGACUCCUACGGGAGGCAGCAGUGGGGAAUCUUGCGCAAUGGGCGAAAGCCUGACGCAGCAACGCCGCGUGUGUGAUGAAGGUCUUCGGAUCGUAAAGCACUGUCGGGAGGGACGAAUAAGGGCCGGGUGAACAGUCCGGUUCGACGACGGUACCUCCAGAGGAAGCACCGGCUAACUCUGUGCCAGCCGCCGCGGUAACAC
rnacentral:rRNA from 1 species